rnacentral:misc_RNA from 1 species
CCGCGCCCGCCGAAGACACCAUUGAACUCUUGUCUGAAGAUUGCAGUCUGAGCGAUUAGCUAAAUCAGUUAAAACUUUCAACAACGGAUCUCUUGGUUCCGGCAUCGAUGAAGAACGCAGCGAAAUGCGAUAAGUAAUGUGAAUUGCAGAAUUCAGUGAAUCAUCGAGUCUUUGAACGCACAUUGCGCCCCCUGGUAUUCCGGGGGGCAUGCCUGUCCGAGCGUCAUUGCUGCCCUCAAGCACGGCUUGUGUGUUGGGCCCCGCCCCCCGGUCUCGGGGGGCGGACCCGAAAGGCAGCGGCGGCACCGCGUCCGGUCCUCGAGCGUAUGGGGCUUCGUCACCCGCUCUGUAGGCCCGGCCGGCGCCCGCCGGCGACCCCCAUCAAUCUAUCCAGGUUGACCUCGGAUCAGGUAGGGAUACCCGCUGAACUUAAGCAUAUCAAUAAGCGGAGGA